UACGAAGGGGGGCGAGCGUUGUUCGGAUUUACUGGGCGUAAAGGGCGCGCAGGCGGCGCAUUUUGUCAGGCGUGAAAGCCCCGGGCUUAACCUGGGAACUGCGUUUGAUACGGAUGGGCUAGAGUUCGGGAGAGGAGAGUGGAAUUCCCAGUGUAGAGGUGAAAUUCGUAGAUAUUGGGAAGAACACCCGUGGCGAAGGCGGUUCUCUGGGACGGUACUGACGCUGAGACGCGAAAGCGUGGGGAGCGAACAGG
rnacentral:rRNA from 1 species